CCUACGGGCGGCAGCAGUGGGGGAUAUUGCACAAUGGGGGAAACCCUGAUGCAGCGACGCCGCGUGGGAGAAGAAGGAUUUCGGGAUGUAAAGCCCUAGCAGCAGGGAAGAAGAAAGGACGGGACCUGAGGAAGAAGCACCGGCUAAAGACGGGCCAGCAGCCGCGGUAAUACGUCUUGUGCAAGCGUUAUCCGGAUUUACGGGGUGUAAAGGGAGCGCAGGCGGCACGGCAAGCCUGAUGGGAAAGCCCGCGGCCCAACCGCGGGACGGCAUUGGGAACUCCCGGGCUGGAGUGCCGGAGUGGUCGGCGGAAUUCCUCGUGUAGCGGUGAUCUGCGUAGAUAUUAGGAG
rnacentral:rRNA from 1 species